AACAAGAAGAUUAGCAUGGCCUCUGCGCAAGGAUGACACGCAAAUUUGUGAAGCGUUCCAUAUUUUG
rnacentral:snRNA from 1 species